AUAGCGUAUAUUAAAGUUGUUGCAGUUAAAAAGCUCGUAGUUGAACUUCCGACCUGGCUGGGCGGUCAGCUUAUCGGCGUGUACUGUCUGGCUGGGCCUUACUUCUUGGUGAGCUGGUGUGCCCUUUAUUGGGUGCGUCGGUGAACCAGGACCUUUACCUUGAGAAAAUUAGAGUGUUCAAAGCAGGCCUAUGCCCGAAUACAUUAGCAUGGAAUAAUAAAAUAGGACGUGCGGUUCUAUUUUGUUGGUUUCUAGAGUCGCCGUAAUGAUUAAUAGGGAUAGUUGGGGGCAUUGGUAUUGAGUCGCUAGAGGUGAAAUUCUUGGAUUGACUCAAGACCAACUAUUG
rnacentral:rRNA from 1 species